rnacentral:rRNA from 1 species
GACGAACGCUGGCGGCGUGCUUAACACAUGCAAGUGGAGCGACGAACCAGGGCUUGCCCUGGGGCAGAGCCGCGAACGGGUGAGUAACACGUGGGUUACCUGCCCCGAUGACCGGGACAACCCGAGGAAACUCGGGCUAAUACCGGAUGUGGUCUUCGGACGAAAGGAAGCUUCGGCCUCCGCAUCGGGAUGGGCCCGCGGCGCAUUAGCUUGUUGGUGGGGUAACGGCCUACCAAGGCGACGAUGCGAGCUGGUCUGAGAGGACGAUCAGCCACACUGGGACUGAGACACGGCCCAGACUCCUACGGGAGGCAGCAGUGGGGAAUCUUGCGCAAUGCGCGAAAGCGUGACGCAGCAACGCCGCGUGAGGGAAGACGGCCU